UACGGGGGGGAGCAAGCGUUGUUCGGAUUUACUGGGCGUAAAGGGCGCGUAGGCGGCCACCGCAAGUCAGUUGUGAAAUCUCUGGGCUUAACCCAGAAAGGUCAACUGAUACUGCGGGGCUAGAGUGCAGAAGGGGCAACUGGAAUUCUCGGUGUAGCGGUGAAAUGCGUAGAUAUCGAGAGGAACACCUGCGGCGAAGGCGGGUUGCUGGGCUGACACGUGACGCUGAAGCGCGAAAGCUAGGGGAGCGAACGGG
rnacentral:rRNA from 1 species